GUAGGAAUAAACUAAGUUAAGUUGUUUGGUUCAUACCCUGAUUAUAGAAUUGUAUUCUUUCCUAUU
rnacentral:tRNA from 1 species